AAUAUUGGGCAAUGGGGGCAACCCUGACCCAGCAACGCCGCGUGGAGGAUGAAGGUCUUCGGAUUGUAAACUCCUGUCCUUGGGGACGAAACAAAUGACGGUACCCGAGGAGGAAGCCCCGGCUAACUACGUGCCAGCAGCCGCGGUAAUACGUAGGGGGCGAGCGUUGUCCGGAAUUACUGGGCGGAAAGGGAGCGCAGGCGGUCUGCUAAGUGAGGUGUGAAAUACCCGGGCUUAACCUGGGGGGUGCAUUUCAAACUGGCGGACUUGAGUGUGGGAGAGGAAAGUGGAAUUCCUAGUGUAGCGGUGAAAUGCGUAGAUAUUAGGAGGAACACCAGUGGCGAAGGCGGCUUUCUGGACCACAACUGACGCUGAGGCUCGAAAGCGUGGGGAGCAAACAGG
rnacentral:rRNA from 1 species